UAUUUAUUCAAUUACUUCGUUUGCACAUACAUGUUCCAUUUGAGUCAGACUGAAGCAUCUCCCAUAGUGGACAAAGUUCGCAUCUGAAAUCCUUCCGGGGCGUCAAUCCAACAAACCAGAAGGAAACAAGAGAUAUUUUUUGCCUGCCUCAUCAUGCGUGAUCUUGCUAGAGGGGACCGCCUUGACACACCAACAGAAUCGUUG
rnacentral:lncRNA from 1 species